rnacentral:lncRNA from 1 species
ACAAAACCAAGACACAAGACGGUGCUUCCCCAAAGGAUAAGCCAGAGACAUUUGUCGUGGAAAUUCACGUAAUUUCCGACAAUGCACACCAAACUAACUUCAAGAAUCAUGAGCAACUAAUUGGUUAUAUGGCAGUCAUGACAAAUGCUGUCAACUUAAAAUUCCUCGACAUGACGAGACCGAAAGUCAGCUUCAUUCUCGUUGGGAUAACAAGGAGCAGGGAUGAUGCUUUCGCGACUAUACACAAUGACCUCUUGGAUGGCAUAGAGACAAUGGAGGGGCUCAAAAAAUAUGUGGAUAAGAGUGCCAGCGAACCCAGAUAUCGUGUUUUUUGUAACCGGGUAAGCCCAGUCUAUGCAAUAUUUUAAAGCGAUUACUAUUGUAGGCUACUCAAUUGAGUUUAGAUUAUGUCAAAGGGACCCUAUCGAUCUGAACGUUUACCACCGUCGAACACAGCUUGCAUGAAGAGUGCAACUGCUGUGAGGUUGCAGCCAUGAGGCAAUUUAAGUGCGUGUUUCUACC